rnacentral:rRNA from 1 species
CAAGUCGAACGCGAAAGUUCCCUUCGGGGAACAAGUAGAGUGGCGCACGGGUGAGUAACACGUAGGUAAUCUACCUUUGGAUUGGGAAUAACAACCGGAAACGGUUGCUAAUACCGAAUAAUGCAGCGGCACCCAAUGGUGACAGUUGUUAAAGCGGGGGAUCGCAAGACCUCGCGUCUGAAGAGGAGCCUGCGGCGGAUUAGCUAGUUGGUAAGGUAAUGGCUUACCAAGGCUAUGAUCCGUAGCCGGCCUGAGAGGGCGGUCGGCCACACUGACACUGACAUACGGGUCAGACUCCUACGGGAGGCAGCAGUCGGGAAUUUUGGGCAAUGGGCGAAAGCCUGACCCAGCAACGCCGCGUGAAGGAUGAAAUCCUUCGGGAUGUAAACUUCGCAAGAACGGGAAGAAUAAGUAAGGGUUAAUAUCUCUUACGAUGACGGUACUGUUUGUAAGCUCCGGCUAACUCCGUGCCAGCAGCCGCGGUAAUACGGGGGGAGCAAGCGUUGUUCGGAUUUACUGGGCGUAAAGGGCGCGUAGGCGGCCACCGCAAGUCGACUGCGAAAUCUCCGGGCUUAACCCGGAAAGGUCAGCCGAUACUGCGGGGCUAGAGUGCAGAAGGGGCAACUGGAAUUCUCGGUGUAGCGGUGAAAUGCGUAGAUAUCGAGAGGAACACCUGCGGCGAAGGCGGGUUGCUGGGCUGACACUGACGCUGAAGUGCGAAAGCUAGGGGAGCGAACGGGAUUAGAUACCCCGGUAGUCCUAGCCUUAAACGAUGAAUGCUUGGUGUCUGGGGUUUUAUAGUCCCCGGGUGCCGUCGCUAACGCUUUAAGCAUUCCGCCUGGGG